UGGGGUGUAGCCAAGCGGUAAGGCAGCGGGUUUUGAUCCCGUCAUUCGGAGGUUCGAAUCCUUCCACCCCAG
rnacentral:tRNA from 1 species